AAAGCGCGUCACGUGACGGCUGGCCCCGCCUCUUCCUCUCGGUCCCAUAUUGAACUCGAGUUGGAAGAGGCGAGUCCGGUCUCAAAAUGGAGGUAAAACCGCCGCCCGGUCGCCCCCAGCCCGACUCCGGCCGUCGCCGCCGCCGCCGGGGGGAGGAGGGCCAUGAUCCUAAGGAACCAGAGCAGUUGAGAAAACUGUUCAUUGGUGGUCUGAGCUUUGAAACUACAGAUGACAGUUUAAGAGAACAUUUUGAGAAAUGGGGCACACUCACAGAUUGUGUGGUGAUGAGAGACCCCCAAACAAAACGUUCCCGGGGCUUUGGUUUUGUGACUUACUCUUGUGUUGAAGAGGUGGAUGCAGCAAUGUGUGCUCGACCACACAAGGUUGAUGGGCGUGUAGUGGAACCAAAGAGAGCUGUUUCUAGAGAGGAUUCUGUAAAGCCUGGUGCCCAUCUAACAGUGAAGAAAAUUUUUGUUGGUGGUAUUAAAGAAGAUACAGAAGAAUAUAAUUUGAGAGACUACUUUGAAAAGUAUGGCAAAAUUGAAACCAUUGAAGUUAUGGAGGACAGGCAGAGUGGGAAAAAAAGAGGAUUUGCUUUUGUAACUUUUGAUGAUCAUGAUACAGUUGAUAAAAUUGUUGUUCAGAAAUACCACACUAUUAAUGGGCAUAAUUGUGAAGUGAAAAAGGCCCUUUCCAAACAAGAAAUGCAGUCUGCUGGAUCACAAAGAGGCCGUGGAGGUGGAUCUGGCAAUUUCAUGGGUCGGGGAGGAAACUUUGGAGGUGGUGGAGGUAACUUUGGCCGUGGUGGAAACUUUGGUGGAAGAGGAGGCUACGGUGGUGGAGGUGGCAGCAGAGGUAGUUAUGGAGGAGGUGAUGGUGGAUAUAAUGGAUUUGGAGGUGAUGGUGGCAACUAUGGCGGUGGUCCUGGUUAUAGUAGUAGAGGAGGCUAUGGUGGUGGUGGUGGUGGACCAGGAUAUGGAAACCAAGGUGGUGGAUAUGGUGGCGGUGGUGGAUACGAUGGUUACAAUGAAGGGGGAAAUUUUGGCGGUAACUAUGGUGGAGGUGGAAACUAUAAUGAUUUUGGAAAUUACAGUGGACAACAGCAAUCAAAUUAUGGACCCAUGAAGGGGGGCAGUUUUGGUGGAAGAAGCUCGGGCAGCCCCUAUGGUGGUGGUUAUGGAUCUGGUGGUGGAAGUGGUGGAUAUGGUAGCAGAAGGUUCUAAAACUCAGCAGAAAAGGAAGCUACUCAAGUAUUUUUGAGCAAAACCGGAUGGAACAUGAAUCCUAUCCUACCACAUUAGGGUAUACACCAAAUGAAAAGCUAUAGCCUACAAAAACAACUGAAGGCAUGCCUGAAUUUUGCAGAAUUUGUAAAACAAGAAAGUUCUCCUUGAUUCAAAAGGCUAUUCUUUACAGUUAUAAUACUUACUAAAUAAAGUAAAAUGACACCAAGCAAGUGUAUUUUUAAAAUAUACCUAUCUCGCUGAUGACCAUUAUGCUUUAUAAAUAUUUAUCUAUCCGUUUACUUCUCUUUGCUUCUCUCCCACUGUUUCAUUACAAAGUACACAACACAAUGCCAAUCAUUUUCUCCAUGAGAAUUCUAGAGAGGGCAGAUGACAGCUUACUCUUUAUAGUUAUCCAACAUUCAAGUACUUUCAGUUCUACUGGAUUUAUUUGCUUAACUUUUGCACAUAUUGUUUCAAUAAUUGUGAACUAGGUGAUUAAAAACAAAAAAAUCAUGGGGGGAUGUGGGAGAGGGUAUAGGGGGAAUAAAUGGUGGUAGAAGGAGACUUGACUUGGAGUGGUGAACACACAAUACAAUGUACAGAUGAUGUGUUGUGGAAUUAUGCAGCUGAAACCUGCAUAAUUUUGUUAACCAGCAUCACCCCAAUAAAUUAAAAAAACUAGGAUUGCUUGGCCAAUGUGGUUCAGUGGUUAAACAUUGACCCAUGCAUGAAGAGGUCACCAGUUCAUUCCUGGUCAGGGCACAUGCCUGCUGCAGGUUCGGUCCCCAGUAGGCGUGCAGGAAGCAGCUGCUUGAUGUUUCUUUCUCAUUGAUGUUUCUAUUUCUCCCUCUCCCUUCUCUAAAAAUCAAUAAUAAAAACACAUUUUAAAAAUAAAUAAACUAAGAAAUCUCCCCGAUUCCCCCCCUCUCACCCUUCCCCCCCAAAAAAUAUAGAGUACAAAUGUUGUCGAUGGAAAGACCUUCCGACCAUCUAGGUCAAAUGUAAAUGUCACCAGGUUUGUUUCUGUGUAAUUACAGCUCCAUUUUAAAAAAUAACUGACCUAGCAACUAGUUAUGUAUGUCAACAGAGACUUCUAAUGUAGUAAAAGUUACCACUAAUCCAAGUUUUCCUUCUAGAUAAGUCUAAGGAUUAUUUCCCUAACCUUCAACAACUAGAGAUUUUUAACAGCAUAAAAAUUCUCAAACAUACCAAGGAAACGAAUUAUUCAACAAAUGAAAACCCUAUAUCACAAAUUUGCUAUUCCCUGGUUGUAAACCAUCCUGCUGCCCUUUUGUUUUUCAACAAGAAUCCUCCGUCUGACAUGUUACUCUGUACACUUUCAUGGGCUGCUUCCUGUUCAAAAACAAGUUUCUUAGCAAUGAUUCAAUCCAAGAAAUAUGAUACCGCCAGUUUACUGGAACUCGCCCAUUACAUUUGUCUGCAAACUGCAAAGCCUGAUGCAAAGAUAAAGCAAGACUGGAAAGUGACUCAGAAUAGGAACUUGGAUUAUUUAUUUUCCCAAGACACACACAGGUAGUGAGCCCAAAAUAAAUCAGAAAGUUACUUUCCAAAAUAGUAGGCGAUCCCACUUGCGACCAAAAGUGCAUGGAUCUGACGUUUCUAUUAGAAUCCAGGUAUGAGAAGUUUCAUACCUGUAUUCUAAUAGAGCAGUGAUUUUCAAUCUCUUUCGUCUUAUGGCACACAUAAAUUAAUUACUAAAAUUCUGUGGCACGUCCAAAAAUAGACUUUUUGGCAAUCUUACAAAAAUAAUAGGUAUAAUUUAGAUUCAUUCAUACCAGACAGCUAUUGUUGUGUUGGCUGUUAUCUAUUUUUAAUUUGACAAUUUAAGGGAAAAGAGGCCAGUUCCCAUGACUAAAUAGUCAGGUAUUGAAUGUUUUAAAAAUUAUUGCGGCACACUGGUUGAAAAUCACUGCAAUAGAGCCAUUUCUUGUUGGUUAGUAUCUAUCUCAGCAGGAUACUGCUGCUAGCUCUCAAGGGAUUUAUGUAUGGGUUAUCACUACAGUAAAACCUCGAAAUAAUGGACUGAAUAAUUCAGGGGAGGGGAAGUCCAUUAAAGCCGAAAGUCUGUUAUAUAAUAAAGUAGGUUCUUCGAAUGUGUAUGUUAAAAAAAUUGACAAAUUUGUGUACCUGUUUUUACUUAUGUAGACAUAUUUGUAUAAUUAAAAUCAAUUAUGUAUGAAAAGUUUAAUUUCAUAGAAAAGUUUUCUAUAUGUAUUACAGUAAUGUCAAAUUUAUACUGAAUAGGUCUAGUAAAUGCAUGCAUUCACCAGUCACCAGGAGUAAACAUAUGCACCUGGCUGGGGCUCGGCUUAGUGCAAGUUGGAAUAUUGGCUGGCACUCGGCUGGCAGUGGUUAAAACUGCUGCAGAAAAUCAUACCACAUGACAAUGGAACCAAUUACUGCCCUCAAUUCAGUGUAAUCACGUGUUAAUCAUUUGCAGAACAUUGUUUAGGAGUGGGGACUCUUGGAUUUAAAUAUGUAGACUACAGUUGUAGAUAUGUAAUAUUUAUUUAUGCCGGUAAAAUUACUAUAGUGUUUUUUUCCAACAUAUGGCCUAUUUGCUAAAAUUUGUUAAAAAUAACAGUGAAUAACAAAAAACCUGUUAAUUUAUUAUAAGCAAAUCUUGUUUAAAAGCAUUUUAAAAUUAACAGGGUGUUGCCCAGCCAGCGUAUCUCAGUGGUUGAGUGUUAACCUAUGAAUCAGGAGGUCAUGGUUGGUUUGAUUCCCGGUCAGGGCACAUCAUGCCUGGGUUGCAGCUCGAUCCUCAGUGUGGGGCAUGCAGGAGGCAGCUGAUCAAUGAUUCUCUCUCAUUGAUGUUUCUAUCUCUCUCUCCCUUUCCCUUCCUCUCUAAAAUCAAUAACAAUAUAUUUAAAAAAAAUUAACGGUGUUAAUUUUCACAUAUGACAUACAGGCCGGAAAUUUUGUCUCAUAUCUGUUGAAGUCCACAAAAGGUUUUACUGUACUUUGCCAAGAGAAUGACUUGGUUUGAUAAGCAAAUUUUAGGAUAAAUUUUUCUAAUCUCUUCCCCACUUCUGAAUAAGCCAUAUAUGUAUUCAGUUCUGGAUGCUGUCCUCCACAUAAGGAGCCUUUGAGAGUAGGUCUUCCAUUACUCUUAGAAUGAUUCUCCAGGGAAACACACACGCACAGGCACCCACCAUUAUUAGCACCAGAAUCUUCAGGAGCAUUGGGUCUAACUCCCUAACCUACUUUAACUUAUGUACACCGACAUUAAGUGGGUGUGGACUAAUGAGGUGACUCACAUAUCCACUUUGGGCCAAACAGCCCUACAUGGCGACCUUGUGUGCCCUCCUCUACAGGGCACCCCCCUACCCCCGUGAGGGAGGGCAGUACUCCAGCAUGCUCAAACACUUCUAAACUCCGAGUGAUCCUUUAUCUAAUUUGGGUAAUGAAUAUGUAGAAAGCAAUUAUUUCAAUCUUAAAGCUCCUUUUUCAGAUUUAACUGCCUAAAAUUAGCUCUUUUUCUAAAAAUUUAAAUUCUUUAUUGUAGCUUUUUCCCCCCAAGAUAUAUUUCUUAUUGAUUUCAGAGAGGAAGGGAGGAGAGAGAGAUAGAAACAUCAAUAAUGAAAGAGAAUCAUUGAUUGUCUGCCUCCUGCAUGCCCCCUACUGGGGAUCAAGCCCACAGCCUGGGCAUAUUCCCUUGACCAGAACUGAACCAGGGACCCUUCAGUCUGCAGGCUGAUGCUCUAUCCACUGAGCCAAACUAGCUAGGGCUACAAUUACCUUAAAAAAAAAAAAAAAGAAAUAGGACAGUCAUCCAGGCUUAGGGGACAAGUAAGCACUAUAUGAAGUUUGUUGCUGUUAGCCAAAGACUUGUGUGCCCGUGGUGGUGCUAAACACUGCUAUCGAUGAUGAUUUUUAAAUAUGUAUAUUAUAUAUUGUAAUAUAGAGCGAGCCUAUUUAAAAUACUUAGCUUCCUUUUUUAAAAAAAACUGCAGGUCCUGUUAAAAUAUGUUCCAAGGGGUUUAAUUUUCUUAGUGUGAACUUUUAAAACUAAAAAUUAUUUCUUGAAAUAAUAAGCUAUUAAUGGCUAAAAUUUCAUUUUACCAGAAUGGUGGUAGUUACAAUAAAGGUGGUGAUCAAGAUCAACAAGAUUAGUAUACAUAUAACCAUAAAUGGAUCAUUAAUCCAUCUACCCAUCUAAUACAUAUGUAGAAAUCACCUCUCAGGUGCCAGGAACUGUUCGAGGUGCCGGGGACACAGAUGAAAAAUGGUCUCUGAUCUUAGUUUUGAGAGAUGAUGAGAAACUGUUAAGAGAUAAGGCAUCACUAAACUGCACAGAAAGACGGCACAUGGGUGUGACAACUGACAAAGUACAGCAGUCACAACCAUAUGAGCAUCCUACCCAGUAAACCAAGGGUUAAGCCUGGUUUUCCAAAGGUCUAGUGCAAGCCAACAUCUAAUAGCAAAGGAGGUUACAGAGGUUGAGAGAACACAAAACAAUGAAUACGUCCCCACUGUAUGCAUUCUUGGAGGCAGUAUUUUCCUCACAGAGGCCUGAUUUCCAGUGCAAGGAAAAUUCUCAUAUGCAAAGACACUUCCUCCUGGCAUUUGGAAUUUUCAGUCAGUAUGAAUCAUCUCAGCCAAGAUGGGAAUUACUGCUAAUGCCACAGUCACCAAAUGCUACAAGUAGAAGGGACCAGCGGACCCACACAGGCAGCCCUUUCAUUUUUCAAAUAGGGAAACAGGUCUAGAGGGUGCAAUUACUUGUGCCAAGAGGUCUGAGAUCAAGGAUUUCAAAAUUACCUUUGGUCUACUUUCCUGCUUUUACAACUCAUGCCAAGUUAUUUGGCAGAGGGAAAAAGAUAUGUUUUUGAAUUAGCAUCUCUUGGUCCAGCUUGCCAGCCUCUGGGUACCUAACAGCCUCUAUUACAGCUGGUGUUGCAUGGCUUACAGCAUGUUCUUGGGCCGUCCCUAUCUCAUUUGAGCCUCACUGAAGUAGCAUGAGGGAAGGUGCUUUAUUUUUAUUUAUGGAUGAGCACAUUUAGGCUUUGGGCAUUGAGCAGCCUUGCCUGGAAUCACAUGUCCAGCAACUAGCAGAGCCAGGAUUUAAUCCAGAACUGUUUCUGAGCCUGGCAGGUUCUUCUCAUGCUGUGCUGCUGAUCUCGGUAUUCACACAACAGGACAAGGGUUGAAAACUGGUUUAGCUCCAGUACCCUCUCUCCAAAGCACAACACUAAGACUUGGAAGGCAGCCCUCUUGACACUCAGACCUGACUGCCCUGAAGACUUAUGGGUAAAUCAGGUCAACGUAACUGAAUAAGGAGAGCUUAGCAUAUAUUAAUCCUUCCACAAAGCCAGUAUUUUAUACUUUACAUGUCUUAUCUGGGCUUUCUUACAAUGGUCUUACUAAGCUGUAAACUCCUGGCUUUGUCGUCUGUAAAAUGAUAUUUAUUAUUCAUAUGUACUAUAAUAAUAUUAUUUAACAUAAUUAUGUAAUAGCCCCUUGUUGGGUUUUUAAGUUAUUCCUAAUCUUUUGCUAUUACAAAUAAUACUAUAAUGAGUAUCCUAUACAUAAAUCAUUUAAUAAUGUGUGAGGAUACCUGUAGGAUAAAUAUGUAGAGAUAGAAUCAUUAUGUCAAAGAGUAUAUGCAUUUUAAACUAUGAUGGGUACUGCCAAAUACCUCUACACAGAGGUUGUACCUUUUACACUCUCACCAGCCAUGUGUGAAAGUGCCCAUUCCCCAACUUAUGUGUCCUUUACACCUUACAUCAUAUUGGCACAUGGUACCCACUCAAUAAAUACAUAUUAACUGUUUGUAAAGAUCUCCUAUGUUAAUUCCAGAAUCAUUUCAAAAUUAGCCCUUCCCACUAUCUUUUAACAAUAAAAUUAAGGCUAAAGAAGAGAAUAAACCUCACAUACAGAAAUGUCAAUUGGCCAGAGGACAGCAUUCUUUAACCACCAGUCCAUGCCCAGCCUCGCUCUAGCCAAGCUAAGUUUGGUUGGUGACUUUGGAGCUGGUAGAACAGUGGCAAGGACAAGAAACGUAGAGGCCAUGGUGCACACAGAUAAGAGAGAAGAUGGACAAAGUCUCAAUAGGUGAAACAAUCAUAACAGGCAAAAUCAGCAACUUCAGCCCUUCUAACAGAUAAGGUAAACUUCAAAGAAAAAGCAAGUCCAGCCAGGAUGACCCAUUUACCAACUCAUUAAAGAGCCAUUCUUUCUAGGGAAGUGUUUCUCAGGAACAGAUGUUUGUUGGCCAUUAAAUUACAUUUAGAAUGCAUAACUGACUAAGGAGAGCUGACAGUAAUCUUGGAGAUCAUAGUCCAAAGCCCAGGUUUAUGAAUGAGGAUCCUGAGGCCCAAAGAUGCUAAAUGGGUAACCAGCCCUGGGUCUCAUCUGACUGAGCAGAACCCAGGAAGGGUCAUCUGGUCAACCCAAUACAAAUUAGAUUUUAAACUAGACUUUCCUAUUACAAUUUCUAUUAAUUAAAGAUUCAUGAACUAUUAGGAAUUACUCUGAAAACAUACCUUUACAAACUGUUACAUAGGAUUUGAUCCUGCAGCCAAAUUACUGGCCUAUAAAACUCUGUUAUUAGGAGAAACCGACCAAUGUUUGACCCUCACUUUUCUGUAGAAAACUUUCCUUCCCACACCCCCAAGCUCAAUACAAUCUGGCGAAGAGCCUUGCAGCUCUAAGCCCCUUCAGGUCUCUCUGGUACCAAGAGCAAAAAUGGUUCAAAAUUAAUGUGGAGCCCUAAGAACUCCCAAAUCAUGAGGUCAAGGCCAUGUACCCACUAAAUGCACAUUCCAAAUGGACUCAUCCAAAGGAUCACUAAGACCCGGGAACAGUUCUAUGUCUCCCUGGAGAAUGAAAGCCCUUGGAGACAUCAACCCUUACAUCCGUAGUGCUUUAAGACCACAAAGCACUUGCAUGAUGAUGUGGCAUUUGUAGCAGAAGCAGCCCUCUAAAUCUGAUGGACAAACCCAUAAAUCAAAUCACCACUUAGUAUGUCAUAAUGCCUGCCUCUGCUUCUCCUCAAAAUAUAAGUCAGAUUCUGGUUUGCUCUAAGAGUGUUCACUGUAGUUGUUGUGUUUCCUUUAAAAUCAGUUUUGCUACAUGCCUAGGAAAACAAUAGCAUAAAACAGGCUUAACGCUUUUACCAAAUGUUCUCAAUCUAACUGAAUAGUAAACACAUGAAGUCAAGCCCUUAGUCUUCUCAAGGACAAAAGCUGUGGGUUUAUCUGCUUUGAAAUCUGUGGCUUAAAAGGACUUAGGUUAAAAUCUAAAAGACAGCCCUGACCGGUUUGGCUCAGUGGAUAAGGCAUUGGCCUGAGGACUGAAGGGUCCCAGGUUCAAUUCCGGUCAAGGGCACAACCUUCGUUGCGGGCACAUCCCCAGUAGGGGGUGUGCAGGAGGCAGCUGAUCGAUGUUUCUCUCUCAUCGAUGUUUCUAAUACUCUAUCCCUCUCCCUUCCUCUCUAUAAAAAAAUCAAUGAAAUAUAUUUUUUUAAAAAAUCUGCAAGACAGUUGUAUGGAGUGUUCUAAAGUAAAUGCUCACACAAAGUGUGGGAAUUAUUUUUGCCUUAUCAAUAUUCCCCAUGAAAGUAUCAUUAUUCUGCCCAACAAAAAUACAUGUCAAACACAUGUUCACUGCUCACUGGUAGGCACAGCACAAAAAGUUCUUUGUACUUACCAACUAUGGUAACUUCUUUUCUUUAGUCUGGAUUAUGUGGAAGCUUAAGUCCUUUGCAGCCCUGAUGCCCACCAUGUUUCCAAUGCCUAGUAAACCCAGGACACAAAGCAGUAGGGUACAGAGAACAUCAGGUCCCAGUCCUGUCUGAGAUUAGGUCAUGCCAUUUUAUUAUUUUUUUUAAUGUUUUUUAAAAUUGAUUUUUAGAGAGAGAGGAAUGGAGAGGGAGUGUGAGGGAGCAUCCUCCCGGGCACCAAAAGGUUGCAGGUUCGAUUCCCAGUCAGGGCAUAAAUCUAGGUUGCAGGCUGGAUCCUAGUUGAAGCCUUCACAUUAAUCUCUCUCACAAUGAUGUUUCUUUCUUUCUCUCUCUCUCCCUCCCUCCCUUUCUCUCUAAAGCAGUGGUUCUCAACCUUCUGGCCCUUUAAAUACAGUUCCUCAUGUUGUGACCCAACCAUAAAAUUAUUUUCGUUGCUACUUCAUAACUGUAAUGUUGCUACUGUUAUGAAUCGUAAUGUAAAUAUCUGAUAUGCAGGAUGGUCUUAGGUGACCCCUGUGAAAGGGUCGUUUGACCGCCAAAGGGGUCGCGACCCACAGGUUGAGAACCGCUGCUCUAAAGUCAAUAAACAGCCCUGACCGGUUUGGCUCAGUGGAUAGAGUGUCGGCCUACGGACUCAAGGGUCCCAGGUUCAAUUCCGGUCAAGGGCAUGUACCUUGGUUGCGGGCACAUCCCCAGUAGGGGGUGUGCAGGAGGCAGCUGAUCGAUGUUUCUCUCUCAUCGAUGUUUCUAACUCUCCCUCUCCCUUCCUCUCUGUAAAAAAUCAAUAAAGUAUAUAUUUAAAAAAUUAAAGUCUAUAAACAUAUCCUUGGGUGAGGAUUUUUUUAAAAAAAGGUUGCUAGUAACAAUGUCUUUGGGGGGAAUUCUGCUGAACCCAACUCUUCUGUUUUAUAAUCUACUUCCUGAGAAUACAGUGGGAACAUUAACCCUUCCAAACUACACUAGGUAGUAUUUAUACUAUUUUAGCAAUUAUUUGUAAAAAGCUACCUCAAUGACCUGAAAGUACACAUGUGAAUCAAAAUUACUUAGAGGGCUCCAAAUGACUAAAUGAGUCAUCUUAACAUUCUUCCGCAAAGUUAUGGUCCAGGUGCCACACAAUCACCAUGAUUCUUUAUAGCCAAGGUUAUCUAAUGACUGAGUAGAAAUUAAGGGGCAUUGGGUGAUGGGAAAUGUUAUCUGUCCCAACUAAGAUAUGAAUAAUCCUGAGUCUGAAAAUGAUAUUUCAACUGCUUUCAGAUGUUUGCAUUUGAAAAUGCACAGUACCCACUUGUUGCCAAUUGCCUGGCAACUAUUUGGAGCUCUUAAAAAGGAAAUUAUAAUUAGUGUAUAUAUCAUAUUACAUUCACUUCAAAUAAGUACAGGAAUCUUACUUUUCCCUUAAUGUAAAUCUUUUCAAUUAAUCCAAUAAAUAAGUAUGUAAGAACAGUGGUUACUUAGUGAACCUUCACAUUAAAAUUUGUGAAUGAAAGAUUGCAGUGCCAAUAUUUUAAGUCCAGACUAAAGACAGAUAUGGCACAAUCUAAGUAAUAAUAAUGGCUACCACUUAUUGUGCACUUUCUAUGCGCUCAACACUAUUCCAGGCACUUUUAUUCAUUAUCUGUUUUGCUCAAAACAAUCUGUGAAGUGGGUAGUAUUAUCAUCACCCUUUUAGAGUAAGGGAACCGGAGCAUGGAGAGGUGAAGUAAUUUUGUGUGAAGACCCCCAUCUAAUAAAUGGUGACAGUGAGAUCGAACCCAGGUUUAUAUUAAAGAAGCACUCAACUAGCACAGGCUCUUGCUUCAGAAUGACCUCGGCCUCUUUAAGGGAGUAAAGAAUACUAGCUUAGGAAGACCUGCGGGGUGUCAGUUGGGGCUGGAUUUGGCCUAGCCACCUAACCUCACUGUGCUGUUCCUGUAAGGGAAAACGCGGACAGAAUACACUUCCUCACAGAAUUCUUUUUCAUAUGAAAAAACAGUAUGCAGAUACUCCAUAGAAGUACAGGACAACUCAGGGGUGAAGUAUUAAUACUAUUAAUAAAUUCAACUCCUAUUGCAGAUGUCAAAUGAACAUGAGAAGCAUCUAAUUUUCAGGCUUCUGUGUCUGACCACAUACAAAAAAUAGACAGUGAGGUCCUAACUUGCUUAUGUAUCUAUCAGACAUCUGCAUGGCAACAGCAGAGGGUGGUGAGUGUAAAAAGUUUUCAGCAUGUCAUCUCCCCGAGGGUCUUGGACGGUUCUUUUCCUUUUUUUUUUUCUCUUUCUUUUAAGGUCAGUUAUUUAGGGUAGUUAUUACUAAAGAAAUACUUUAGUCUUUAAAGACUAAAAGAGGGCGUGGGCUUUGGGAGAAGGCGAGGCCACAAGGGUCAGCUCAGUCCAUGUUGGGGUUUAGCUUUCCACUAACGUACUUCUACUCUCCGAACUCACUCUGUUCGUACAGCUUGCUUGUGGACACUAUUCCGUUCCUAGGCCCAGAGCCCCAGGAUAAGAAAUCUGCCACGUGUGAAGGAGUGUAUCUGGGAAGGAGUUCAGUGAGAUGGCUUAUCAAUCCCCACCAAUUCUUCCCAGCCACAGGCCCAAGAAAUGGUAAAUCAUGGUAACAACUACCAUCAAAUAACAUUGCUCUCUGUUAAGGGAACUGGACUACAUACUCUGAGUAAUCCCUCUCCUUUUCAUUGCAGAACCCAUUUUUUCAAGUGAAAUGUAACCUGGAAUCUCCCACUUCGGAGUCACCAUCCUCACAGUCACAAGCCUGGUGAAGAAGUUUCCAGCAGAGGAUGAGUCUGUUUCUGGGAGAGAAAAGAAUCUGAACCAGAGGACCGUUUUCAUUCUUGGCCUGGUCUCAGCUUGGGAACCAGUGGAAGGGAGCACAUGGUCAGGGGUGAGGGGAGGACCCAACCAGCACAACGUAAAGCUGCCCUGUCCUUUGGAGUUGAUUUUAAUUAUGUUUCACUAAGAACUGCCAAGAAUAAAAACAACGUCUUGUAUUAUUUUCCUAAUUCAAGUAAAAAAUGAUCGUUUUAAUUUUGGAUGGUUUUCAUUACCAGAAUUUUAAUGAUUAAAAAAAAUUAUUUUUUGCUACGUCAAAAAAAUUGAUGGUUCCUCAACACGCUUUACACACAACAGCAAGACUACAGGAUUGUAAAACAAACCAGCAAGAAGUGCAGGUCAGCCCUCACGCGCCUGAAGAAGGAGCGUAGUUCCGUAUGUCAUGCCUCUGCUCCCAUUCUGGCCACAGAAGGCACAAAGCACGAUGAUCACGUUCCCCUCUACUCUAUUCCCUUAGACUGGGAAUACCUUGGGUUCUGCAUCCAUGUCUGAUAGCAUUUUGUGCUGAAGCAGAGCAGACAAAAGAUUGUCAAGUCUGGAGUGAAGCAAAAUUCCAUACUUAUCAGUAGGCCACCUACAUACCCAGUCAAUACUGUCAAUGCUGCCUCUCACACAGACUUUGGAGGGUGAGGGCCAAAAUGGUACUAACCCACCCCAAAUGUCGGCUACAUUCCAGCAAAAAAAAAAAAAAAAGAA